rnacentral:rRNA from 1 species
GGCUCUUUGAAAUAAGUAUAUAGAGAGUCGAACCUGCCCAGUGAUUUUUUAAACGGCCGCAGUACUCUGACUGUGCAAAGGUAGCAUAAUCAUUUGCCCUAUAAUUGAGGGCUUGUAUGAACGGUUUGACAAGAGCAUAACUGUCUCUUAAAAAUUUUAUAGAAUUUGGUUUUUAGGUGAAGAAACCUAAAUAUAAUUGAAAGACAAGAAGACCCUAUCGAGCUUUAGAGCAAUUAAUUAAAGAAUAUAAUUAAAACAAUUAAUUUUAAUUAAGAACUUUGGUUGGGGCGACUGAGGAACAUAUAAAGCUUCUUUAAUUAGAAUACGCUUAUAGGCUAUGAUCCAAAAAGUUUGAUUAAAAAAAUUAGUUACCGUAGGGAUAACAGCAUAAUCUUUUUCAAGAGUUCUUAUCGAAAAAAAGGUUUGUGACCUCGAUGUUGGACUAGGAUAUCUCAAAGAUGCAGAAGUCUUUAACAGUUGGUCUGUUCGACCAUUAAAAUCCU